AUCAGCUCUCUGUACUACAGAUGUCCUAGAAAACAAGUGUCUGCUUAGAGCUUAAAGCACUGUUUUUGACCUAGUGAACCCUAAACAGAAUGAUACCUUCUCACCCAAGUACCCACUGCUGUCUCUGUCUCACAGAGUAUAAGGAGGUCCAGUAGCAUGGAUGGGUAAUUAAGAUUCAACAUUUUCAAAACUGUUUCCUGAAAAGAGAGGCUGUGGGCUAAUGCUGUGACAGGCAAUUAUAUCCUGUUUGCAGGAAAACAAAG